rnacentral:rRNA from 1 species
UACAGAGGGUGCGAGCGUUAAUCGGAAUUACUGGGCGUAAAGCGUGCGUAGACGGUCAUGUAAGUCGGAUGUGAAAGCCCCGGGCUCAACCUGGGAAUUGCAUUCGAGACUGCAUGGCUUGGGUGCGGAAGAGGGAAGCGGAAUUUCCGGUGUAGCGGUGAAAUGCGUAGAUAUCGGAAAGAACACCAACGGCGAAAGCACUCUGCUGGGCCGACACUGACACUGAGAGACGAAAGCUAGGGGAGCAAAUGGG